rnacentral:rRNA from 1 species
AACGAACGCUGGCGGCAGGCCUAACACAUGCAAGUCGAGCGAUGACUUCGGUCCUAGCGGCGGACGGGUGAGUAACGCGUGGGAACGUGCCCUUUGCUUCGGAAUAGCCCUGGGAAACUGGGAGUAAUACCGGAUGAGCCCUUUUGGGGAAAGAUUUAUCGGCGAAGGAUCGGCCCGCGUUGGAUUAGGUAGUUGGUGGGGUAAUGGCCUACCAAGCCGACGAUCCAUAGCUGGUUUGAGAGGAUGAUCAGCCACACUGGGACUGAGACACGGCCCAGACUCCUACGGGAGGCAGCAGUGGGGAAUCUUAGACAAUGGGGGAAACCCUGAUCUAGCCAUGCCGCGUGAGCGAUGAAGGCCUUAGGGUUGUAAAGCUCUUUCAGCUGGGAAGAUAAUGACGGUACCAGCAGAAGAAGCCCCGGCUAACUCCGUG